CUUGGUCAUUUAGAGGAAGUAAAAGUCGUAACAAGGUUUCCGUAGGUGAACCUGCGGAAGGAUCAUUACCUAGAGUUUGUGGACUUCGGUCUGCUACCUCUUACCCAUGUCUUUUGAGUACCUUCGUUUCCUCGGCGGGUCCGCCCGCCGGUUGGACAACAUUCAAACCCUUUGCAGUUGCAAUCAGCGUCUGAAAAAACUUAAUAGUUACAACUUUCAACAACGGAUCUCUUGGUUCUGGCAUCGAUGAAGAACGCAGCGAAAUGCGAUAAGUAGUGUGAAUUGCAGAAUUCAGUGAAUCAUCGAAUCUUUGAACGCACAUUGCGCCCUUUGGUAUUCCAAAGGGCAUGCCUGUUCGAGCGUCAUUUGUACCCUCAAGCUUUGCUUGGUGUUGGGCGUCUUGUCUCUAGCUUUGCUGGAGACUCGCCUUAAAGUAAUUGGCAGCCGGCCUACUGGUUUCGGAGCGCAGCACAAGUCGCACUCUCUAUCAGCAAAGGUCUAGCAUCCAUUAAGCCUUUUUUUCAACUUUUGACCUCGGAUCAGGUAGGGAUACCCGCUGAACUUAAGCAUAUCAAUAAGCGGAG
rnacentral:rRNA from 1 species